GCUUGGUUGGCGCAGUUGGUAGCGCGCAGGUCUCAUACCGCGUUAUGAGGGAGUGAUUACUCUUGAAAUCCUGAGGUCGUCGGGUCAAAGCCGACACUGAGCA
rfam:Stereum hirsutum FP-91666 SS1 unplaced genomic scaffold STEHIscaffold_16, whole genome shotgun sequence.